CAGACUAUUAUAUCUAUGAAGAUGAAUAACAGAGAUUUCAUCAGAUAAAGUAUUCAAUUUUUAAUUUUUAAUUAAUUGAAGAGUAUUAAUCAGCUGUAAACAGCAGUGAUAAUUAACUAUAGUGAAAAAUGAUUUAUCGUCAUAUCAUCGCUAGAUAUCAUAACUAAACAUCGCUGCUAUAAGAGAGAUGCUGUAUAAUGUUAUUUUUGAAUAUCUGACGAUAUGAUGAUAAUGCUUGUUGACAGGCCUUGAGAUCUACACAUAAAGACUAAAACUGUGUAUGCAUUAAACUUGUCAACAAUUAGUUUACGCAGUAAAACUAUUGUAAGUUUAGGUAACUCGUUUUGCAUGAAGUUCAAUAUUGUUAUUAAAGAAUUGGCCAAACUCAUAAACCACACUCGACUCUUCUUCUAAACCCACGUUCAAGUAUUGAU
rnacentral:sRNA from 2 species